rnacentral:rRNA from 1 species
UACGGAGGAUCCGAGCGUUAUCCGGAUUUAUUGGGUUUAAAGGGUGCGUAGGCGGUUUGAUAAGUUAGAGGUGAAAUGUCGGGGCUCAACCCCGAAACUGCCUCUAAUACUGUUGGACUAGAGAAUAGUUGCGGUAGGCGGAAUGUAUGGUGUAGCGGUGAAAUGCUUAGAGAUCAUACAGAACGCCGAUUGCGAAGGCAGCUUACCAAACUAUAUCUGACGUUGAGGCACGAAAGCGUGGGUAGCAAACAGG